UGGGGAAUUUUCCGCAAUGGGCGAAAGCCUGACGGAGCAACGCCGCGUGAGGGAUGAAGGCCUCUGGGCUGUAAACCUCUUUUAUCAAGGAAGAAGAUCUGACGGUACUUGAUGAAUAAGCCACGGCUAAUUCCGUGCCAGCAGCCGCGGUAAUACGGGAGUGGCAAGCGUUAUCCGGAAUUAUUGGGCGUAAAGCGUCCGCAGGCGGCCCUUCAAGUCUGCUGUUAAAAAGUGGAGCUUAACUCCAUCAUGGCAGUGGAAACUGAGGGGCUUGAGUGUGGUAGGGGCAGAGGGAAUUCCCGGUGUAGCGGUGAAAUGCGUAGAUAUCGGGAAGAACACCAGUGGCGAAGGCGCUCUGCUGGGCCAUCACUGACGCUCAUGGACGAAAGCCAGGGGAGCGAAAGGGAUUAGAUACC
rnacentral:rRNA from 1 species